GACGAACGCUGGCGGCGUGCUUAACACAUGCAAGUCGAACGGUAAGGCCCUUCGGGGUACACGAGUGGCGAACGGGUGAGUAACACGUGGGUGAUCUGCCCUGCACUUCGGGAUAAGCCUGGGAAACUGGGUCUAAUACCGGAUAGGACUCCUGGCUUCAUGGUUGGGGGUGGAAAGCUUUUGCGGUGUGGGAUGGGCCCGCGGCCUAUCAGCUUGUUGGUGGGGUAAUGGCCUACCAAGGCGACGACGGGUAGCCGGCCUGAGAGGGUGACCGGUCACACAGGGACGGAGAGAGGGCCCAGACUCCUAGGGGAGGCAGAAGUGGGGAAUAUUGCACAAUGGGCGCAAGCCUGAUGCAGCGACGCCGGGUGAGGGAUGACGGCCUUCGGGUUGUAAACCUCUUUCAGCUAUGACGAAGCGCAAGUGACGGUAGUAGCAGAAGAAGGACCGGCCAACUACGUGCCAGCCGCCGCCGUAA
rnacentral:rRNA from 1 species